rnacentral:rRNA from 1 species
ACAGAGGGUGCAAGCGUUAAUCGGAAUUACUGGGCGUAAAGCGAGCGUAGGUGGCUUGAUAAGUCAGAUGUGAAAUCCCCGGGCUUAACCUGGGAACUGCAUCUGAUACUGUUAGGCUAGAAUAGGUGAGAGGAAGGUAGAAUUCCAGGUGUAGCGGUGAAAUGCGUAGAGAUCUGGAGGAAUACCGAUGGCGAAGGCAGCCUUCUGGCAUCAUAUUGACGCUGAGGUUCGAAAGCGUGGGUGGCAAACAGGAUUUGAUACCCUGGUAGUCCACGCCGUAAACGAUGUCUACUAGUCGUUGGGUCCCUUGAGGACUUAGUGACGCAGCUAACGCAAUAAGUAGACCGCCUGGGGAGUACGGCCGCAAGGUUA